CCUACGGGAGGCUGCAGUGGGGAAUAUUGCACAAUGGGGGAAACCCUGAUGCAGCGACGCCGCGUGAGUGAAGAAGUAUUUCGGUACGUAAAGCUCUAUCAGCAGGGAAGAAAAUGACGGUACCUGACUAAGAAGCCCCGGCUAACUACGUGCCAGCAGCCGCGGUAAUACGUAGGGGGCAAGCGUUAUCCGGAUUUACUGGGUGUAAAGGGAGCGUAGACGGCAGUGCAAGUCUGGAGUGAAAGGCCGGGGCUCAACCAUCGGACUGCUUUGGAAACUGGACGGCUGGAGUGCAGGAGAGGUAAGUGGAAUUCCUAGUGUAGCGGUGAAAUGCGUAGAUAUUAGGAGGAACACCAGUGGCGAAGGCGGCUUACUGGACUGUAACUGACGUUGAGGCUCGAAAGCGUGGGGAGCAAACAGGAUUAGAUACCCGAGUAGUC
rnacentral:rRNA from 1 species